rnacentral:tRNA from 1 species
GCAGUAGUGGUUCAGUGGUAGAAUUCCCAACUUGUAUGCGGGAAACCUGGGUUCAUUUGCCAGCCAAUGUA